CGUCCAGACUCCUACGGGAGGCAGCAGUGGGGAAUAUUGCACAAUGGGGGAAACCCUGAUGCAGCGACGCCGCGUGAGUGAAGAAGUAUCUCGGUACGUAAAGCUCUAUCAGCAGGGAAGAAAAUGACGGUACCUGACCAAGAAGCCCCGGCUAACUACGUGCCAGCAGCCGCGGUAAUGCGUAGGUGGCGAGCGUUAUCCGGAAUUACUGGGUGUAAGGGGAGCGUAGGCGGGGGAACAAGUUGAAUGUUUAAGAUAUGGGCUCAACUCAUAUAAGCGUUCAAAACUGUUUUUCUUGAGUGAAGUAGAGGUAAGCGGAAUUCCUAGUGUAGCGGUGGAAUGCGUAAAUAUUAGGAGGAACACCAGUGGCGAAGGCGGCUUACUGGGCUUUAACUGACGCUGAGGCUCGAAAGCGUGGGUAGCAAACAGGAUUAGAUACCCUCGUAA
rnacentral:rRNA from 1 species